rnacentral:tRNA from 2 species
CGGGGUGUGGCGCAGUCCGGAAGCGCACCUGCAUGGGGUGCAGGGGGCCGUUGGUUCAAAUCCAAUCACCCCGACCA